UAAUUUGAGAACGUACGUGAAAGUUGACUCGACUUCUUCUUUACUAUCCUUCUCAAUUUUAAUUAUAAAUGCGUCUACAAAAUCGUCACCUUCUUCACUUAAAACA
rfam:Caenorhabditis elegans chromosome V